UACGUAAGGAGCGAGCGUUGUCCGGAAUUAUUGGGCGUAAAGGGUACGCAGGCGGUCUAGUAAGUCAGAAGUGAAAGGCAAUAGCUCAACUAUUGUAAGCUUUUGAAACUGCUAGACUUGAGAGAUUGAAGGGAAAGUGGAAUUCCUAGUGUAGCGGUGAAAUGCGCAGAUAUUAGGAGGAACACCAGUGGCGAAGGCGACUUUCUGGCAAUCAUCAGACGCUGAGGUACGAAAGCGUGGGUAGCAAACAGG
rnacentral:rRNA from 1 species